GCGCAGCUGAUCAGCAUGCCGCGUGAGUGAGAAGGCCUUCGGGUUGUAAAGCACUUUUAUCAGGAGCGAAAUCGACGGCUUAAUACGAGUGCCGUCUGACGGUACCUGAGGAAUAAGCACCGGCUAACUUCGUGCCAGCAGCCGCGGUAAUACGAAGGGUGCAAGCGUUAAUCGGAAUUACUGGGCGUAAAGGGUGCGUAGGCGGUUCGUUAAGUCUGUCGUGAAAUCCCCGGGCUCAACCUGGGAAUGGCGAUGGAUACUGGCGAGCUAGAGUGUGUCAAAGGAUGGUGGAAUUCCCGGUGUAACGGUGAAAUGCGUAAAGAUCGGGAGGAACAUCAGUGGCGAAGGCGGCCAUCUGGGACAACACUGACGCUGAAGCACGAAAGCGUGGGGAGCAAACAGGAUUAGAUACCCUGGUAGUCCACGCCCUAAACGAUGCGAACUGGAUGUUGGUCUCAACUCGGAGAUCAGUGUCGAAGCUAACGCGUUAAGUUCGCCGCCUGGGGAGUACUGUCGCAAGACUGAAACUCAAAGGAAUUGACGG
rnacentral:rRNA from 1 species